rnacentral:rRNA from 1 species
UACGUAGGGUGCAAGCGUUGCCCGGAAUUACUGGGCGUAAAGAGCUCGUAGGUGGUUUGUCGCGUUGUUCGUGAAAACUCACAGCUCAACUGUGGGCGUGCGGGCGAUACGGGCAGACUUGAGUACUGCAGGGGAGACUGGAAUUCCUGGUGUAGCGGUGGAAUGCGCAGAUAUCAGGAGGAACACCGGUGGCGAAGGCGGGUCUCUGGGCAGUAACUGACGCUGAGGAGCGAAAGCGUGGGGAGCGAACAGG